rnacentral:lncRNA from 1 species
CGAAUUUUAACACACAAGACGUGUCACUCGUAUACUUUUGAAUGGGGAAAAGUGUAACUGUCUAUAUGGUGAAUAAAGCCCCGCCUUCUAGUACAGGAGCCAAUCAGCGAUCGCUAUAUGGCGAAUAAAGCCCGCCUUCUAGUACAUGAGCCAAUCUGUGAUCGCUAUAGAACGACAAUUCCCCGGGGGAGGGGCUUGGACUAAACGUGAGUUUCUGCAGAUUUUGUGUGAUGCGAACAUAUAGAAAUAAAACUAAAGAGACAGCUGUUGUUUAAUUUUAUUGGUUAUUGGUAAUAUGUAAUGUAAUCGUAAUCUUGGCAAGUAGUUUUGAAGAAUUUAAUGUUUCCCCAUUCAGACAGAAUGCCCGAGCAUACUGCCCGAGAGGCGUUUCAAAGAUGGCCGCCGCGUGAAAGGGACUAAAAGCAGCGCGGUGUGUUCGCUGGACUUCCGGUGUCAUUCGCUUCCGAUUAAUCCAGCAGGUACUUCAAAUCGCAAACAGGUUUCCCUGCACUGAGUGUUCUCUUCCUGCGUACGAGCUGCAGAAACAGGAGCACAUCUUCUGAAGGAGAAACAGUCUUAACUCACAGUCCCGUCUGAUUGUCUAACUUAUGGACAAGAUUUCCGCCGUCAGCGCUGAUGAUAGCAGUGGAGUGGGAGAUGUUUUCAUCCAGUCAUCAUGUUCCAGAUACAGUCAGAAAACAUCAAGUCCUGAUGCUUUACUGAAGGUCAGAGUCACACACACACACACACACACACACACACACACAAACACACUAACUGUUAUUGCAUCGUCAUACUAUCUGUUAUCUGACAAUAGAAUAGAAAUAUAUAUAUAUACAGAUACCCUACGAUGGUUUAUUUCUGAAGAUUUUGAUGUAAGUUGCUCCUUCUGUGAUCACCAAACUGAA